rnacentral:rRNA from 1 species
UACGGAGGGUGCGAGCGUUGUCCGGAAUCAUUGGGCGUAAAGGGCGCGUAGGUGGCUUCUUAAGCGUGCGGUGAAAGCCUGGGGCUCAACCCCGGGUCGGCCGUGCGAACUGUCGAGCUGGAGCACUGUAGAGGCAGGUGGAAUUCCGGGUGUAGCGGUGGAAUGCGUAGAGAUCCGGAAGAACACCGGUGGCGAAGGCGGCCUGCUGGGCAGUGGCUGACGCUGAGGCGCGACAGCGUGGGGAGCAAACAGG